rnacentral:rRNA from 1 species
GACGAACGCUGGCGGCGUGCUUAACACAUGCAAGUCGAACGGAAAGGCCCCUUUGGGGGUACUCGAGUGGCGAACGGGUGAGUAACACGUGAGUAACCUGCCCUUGACUUCGGGAUAACUUCAGGAAACUGGGGCUAAUACCGGAUAGGAAUCCUUGCUGCAUGGUGGGGGUUGGAAAGCUUCGGCGGUUUUGGAUGGACUCGCGGCUUAUCAGCUUGUUGGUGGGGUAGUGGCUUACCAAGGCUUUGACGGGUAGCCGGCCUGAGAGGGCGACCGGCCACAUUGGGACUGAGAUACGGCCCAGACUCCUACGGGAGGCAGCAGUGGGGAAUAUUGCACAAUGGGCGGAAGCCUGAUGCAGCAACGCCGCGUGCGGGAUGACGGCCUUCGGGUUGUAAACCGCUUUCAGCAGGGGCGAAGCUUGUGGUGACGGUACCUGCAGAAGAAGCACCGGCUAACUCCGUG